GGUCAUGUGACCUAGUGGUCAUGGCAUCUGCCCGGUAAGCGGAAGGUCGUGGGUUCGAUUUCCAUCCCUUGACACU
rnacentral:tRNA from 1 species